rnacentral:rRNA from 1 species
GUGGGGAAUAUUGGACAAUGGGCGAAAGCCUGAUCCAGCCAUGCCGCGUGAGUGAUGAAGGCCUUAGGGUUGUAAAGCUCUUUCAGUAGGGAAGAUAAUGACGGUACCUACAGAAGAAGCCCCGGCUAACUUCGUGCCAGCAGCCGCGGUAAUACGAAGGGGGCUAGCGUUGUUCGGAUUUACUGGGCGUAAAGCGCACGUAGGCGGAUUGGUCAGUUAGAGGUGAAAUCCUGGAGCUCAACUCCAGAACUGCCUUUAAUACUGCCAGUCUAGAGUCCAGAAGAGGUGAGUGGAACUCCUAGUGUAGAGGUGGAAUUCGUAGAUAUUAGGAAGAACACCAGUGGCGAAGGCGGCUCACUGGUCUGGUACUGACGCUGAGGUGCGAAAGCGUGGGGAGCAAACAGGAGUAGAUACCCUGGUAGUCC